rnacentral:rRNA from 1 species
UACGUAGGGUGCAAGCGUUGUCCGGAAUUAUUGGGCGUAAAGAGCUCGUAGGCGGUCUGUCGCGUCGGUUGUGAAAACCCGGAGCUCAACUCCGGGCCUGCAGUCGAUACGGGCAGACUGGAGUUCGGCAGGGGAGACUGGAAUUCCUGGUGUAGCGGUGAAAUGCGCAGAUAUCAGGAGGAACACCGGUGGCGAAGGCGGGUCUCUGGGCCGAUACUGACGCUGAGGCGCGAAGGCGUGGGGAGCGAACGGG